GACGAACGCUGGCGGCGUGCUUAACACAUGCAAGUCGAACGGAAAGGCCCUGCUUGCAGGGUACUCGAGUGGCGAACGGGUGAGUAACACGUGGGUGAUCUGCCCUGCACAUCGGGAUAAGCCUGGGAAACUAGGUCUAAUACCGGAUAGGAGCCAUCUCAAGUGAGAUGGUUGGAAAGGUUUUUCGGUGUAGAGUGAGCUCGCGGCCUAUCAGCUUGUUGGUGGGGUAAUGGACUACCAAGGCGGCGACGUGUAGCCGGCCUGAGAGGGUGGCCGGCCACAUUGGGACUGAGAGACGGCCCAGAUACCUACGGGAGGCAGCAGUGGGGAAUAUUGCACAAUGGGCGCAAGGCUGAUGCAGCGACGCCGCGUGGGGGAUGACGGCCUUCGGGUUGUAAACUCCUUUCGCUAGGGACGAAGCUUUUUGUGACGGUACCUAGAUAGGAAGCCCCGGCUAACUACGUG
rnacentral:rRNA from 1 species